AUACGGAGGGUGCGAGCGUUAAUCGGAAUUACUGGGCGUAAAGGGUGCGUAGGCGGCUUGAUAAGUCGGAUGUGAAAGCCCCGGGCUUAACCUGGGAAUUGCAUUCGAUACUGUCAGGCUAGAGUAUGUCAGAGGUUGGCGGAAUUCCUGGUGUAGCGGUGAAAUGCGUAGAUAUCAGGAGGAACACCAGUGGCGAAGGCGGCUAACUGGGGCAAUACUGACGCUGAGGCACGAAAGCGUGGGGAGCAAACAGCAUUAGAAACCCUAGUAGUCC
rnacentral:rRNA from 1 species